GUCCGCUUCCCUGCUUGCAUCCGUACGGAUGGGCUGUGACCUUCGAGGUAGGGGAGGCAUACAUUCAAAGAGGC
rnacentral:ncRNA from 1 species